rnacentral:lncRNA from 1 species
GCCAAAUCUAGGCACAAGAAAUGUAGCAAGCUGUCCCCUUCUUCCAGAAACUUGUACUUUUUUGUGUGUGUGGAAGUAAGAAAUCUUUGGAGAAUAUACACGUCUUAAACUGUGAUUUGGGAUAAAAGGUCAAUAUGAGUUGAGAGAAAAGAGAAAUCACCUUGGGCUGGUGUUCAACUGAACUAUGAAGAAAGUAUUGAAUUUACAAAGGCGAGACAGAAAGAGAAGGUUAUUUCAGAUGAGGAAAUGGAGUUACAAAGAAGUAUGAGACUUGCCUAUGGAGGCACUGAGAUCCAGGCCAAGGUCACCUUGCAGCCAGUUUGCUUUCUGGGGUGCAAUGACCGAAUGUAAAACUUGUUGAUUGUGGGAAAGAAUCAACUUAUUGCUGAUCCAGCACAGACAUCUUAGUUGGUUUUAUUAACUAAUGUCAAGCAUGACAAUAUUCUAUUUUCAAAUCAGAUUCUUGGACUUCUCUGGCUUCAGCCACUGGAAACUCUGAUUCUAAUAUUUGUGAAAAUAAAAUUCUGGUCAUAUGGCCAAAA